CUCUUUCAAACGCCUUACGCGCCCCUUCAAAGUUUCCAAUGGUUUGUUCAAAUUCAGCCAUCGAAAUCCAGACUUUAAUGUGAUUUGUUCGUUGGAGUAGGGUUUCAUAGAGAUCUCUAGCCUUUUCGUGUUCCUCACAAGCAAUUUCAAAG
rnacentral:sRNA from 1 species